CCUGCUUCCACUUCCGCACUUGCUUUAAUCUGAAUGAUCAACAGCAACGCUCAACCGAAUCAGCGCCUUUUCAUUUCCAUUUCCCCCCGCCGCCGGCGAGGUCCGAUCUGACUCGCUGCCGCGCAAUCAGGCGUGGAAAAAACAUACGAACCUGUGAAACUGAACGAAGGCGGCAUUGCUACGUGUAUACGCAAAAUCGAAGAAACGGAAAAGAAGGAUGAAUGAAUACAUACAGAUUUUGGCAGCGGCAGAGAAGGAGAAAGCGGGAGGAGAGUUGAUGAGGUGUAGAAAGGAGAGGAGCACGAGUUCGUCUCCAGGAGAGAGAGACAGCGACAUCACCAGCCAUUGGAGCUCGCUUACAUCCAUGGCGAUGCUCGCCGUCUGAAUCACCAACACUUUCUGCAGAACCUAGGGCAGGGAAGGAGGAAGUAUCUUCCCGAAGCUCUGGAAUGGAUGGCGAUCUAUCUGUCUACAACUUCAUUUGCUAAUGAAUCAAGGAAUUAUGCUCCGGCCGCUGCGAAUGAGCUAUAGAGGUUUUAAGGG